ACAACGAAAGGCUUGUACAAACGAUCAUGAGGCGUUUGAAAGAGGGUUGGAAGAGCCCUCUUUUACUGGCUGACUGAGGCUGCUGUUAAAUAUCCAUUGUCUAAGCCUCUGGUCAUUUGACUCAAUGGAGGUCUUUCAACAUGUCUUUUUGUGAGGAAUGUUACAAGCAAGGAGGAUGUUAGUUAUUACCAUACAUAUGGUUCAUAAGUUUUGGUCACUAGCUUUGUGUGUAACUCUUAAGUUCAACAAGAAGAUUAGUAGUUUUAGGUAUUUUGAUGCUUGUAAUUUUGCGAAACCUUUGGUUGGUGUUACAAUUGUGAUUGUUGGUUUGUAAUUGAAAUGAGUUCAUAUGGUAUCUUAAACAUUUUUCAAUAAAAUUU